GCAGUCGAGCGGAUGAAGGAGCUUGCUCCUGGAUUCAGCGGCGGACGGGUGAGUAAUGCCUAGGAAUCUGCCUGGUAGUGGGGGACAACGUUUCGAAAGGAACGCUAAUACCGCAUACGUCCUACGGGAGAAAGCAGGGGACCUUCGGGCCUUGCGCUAUCAGAUGAGCCUAGGUCGGAUUAGCUAGUUGGUGAGGUAAUGGCUCACCAAGGCGACGAUCCGUAACUGGUCUGAGAGGAUGAUCAGUCACACUGGAACUGAGACACGGUCCAGACUCCUACGGGAGGCAGCAGUGGGGAAUAUUGGACAAUGGGCGAAAGCCUGAUCCAGCCAUGCCGCGUGUGUGAAGAAGGUCUUCGGAUUGUAAAGCACUUUAAGUUGGGAGGAAGGGUUGUAGAUUAAUACUCUGCAAUUUUGACGUUACCGACAGAAUAAGCACCGGCUAACUCUGUGCCAGCAGCCGCGGUAAUACAGAGGGUGCAAGCGUUAAUCGGAAUUACUGGGCGUAAAGCGCGCGUAGGUGGUUCGUUAAGUUGGAUGUGAAAUCCCCGGGCUCAACCUGGGAACUGCAUCCAAAACUGGCGAGCUAGAGUAUGGUAGAGGGUGGGUGGGAAUUUCCUGUGUAGCGGUGAAAUGCGUAGAUAUAGGAAAGGAACACCAGUGGCGAAAGCGACCACCUGGACUGAUACUGACACUGAGU
rnacentral:rRNA from 1 species